ACUUUUUGCCUUUCAGACUUUUCCCUCUUUCUCGAAAACCCUAAAGACAUAAAAUCUAUCAGACCUAACAUAUCACUUAGCCAAAUAUUACACUUUUUAUCUCCCACACUUACGAAAAAAAACACAAAACUCUAACCUAAUUUCUAUCUUCAUCUCUCCACACCCGACAUUCAUCUUGUUCCAGCCCAGAGAAGAGAGAGCGAGAGAGAGAGAUUACUUAGAAGAUGUUGUCAGAUUCAAAUCUGGAGCCAUCUAAAAUAUCAAAAAUCCAUAUUCGAGUGGGUCUACACCAACGAAAGCAAGGAACCCAGAUUCGGAUUGGUCUAGUCAUGGUGAAGAUGAGACGAUUAAGAACGGAGAAGAAGAUUGGGUGAAAAAGUUUCAGAGAUUGUAAAGAUAUCUGGUUUGGUAAGAUAUUGUGGAUCUAAGAGGAGUUUCGAUUUUCUCAGAACAAAUGCAGUUGCAGAUGUGGUGACCUGAAGAAGAUCGGAGAUAAUUUCUACCCUUCAUUCCAGUGUUGACGUUAGACGGGUAAGAAAAUCGUCGGGUCUAAUUUCACUCUCACGGAAGCUAUAAUUCAAAUUGGUGGUUUCUAGUUAAGUUGUGCUCGGCUUUUUGUAUUAGAUGCAGCUGAAGCAUGAGCUGAAAUAAAAAGGUGUUGAAAAGUCAUUACUUUCACGUUGUUGUUUGAGCAAAUUUUAACCUUGAAGUCGGAAGCUUUUCGAAAGCUUUUCCAAUCUCAAGGUCCUCGCUUCUUUUAUUUAUUCGUUCACAGUGUGAUUGAUGUUAUAUUAAUAAUAUUAUUCUCAUGUAGCAAUUGAAUUUAAGUGAUGAAGAGUUGCUACUGAAGCUCAUGAGCUUAUUUAUAUUAUAAUCGAUUUGUAUGAGUUGCUUAAACUUUUUCCGUUGUCUUGUUGUUCUAAUUUUUUUUUUCUUUUUUUUUGUUGGUUGAAGAAAUGGGAUAAGAGAGCAAGAAAUGCUAGGACACAAGGUUAGAUUUUGUUGUUGUUAUACUGUGUUACUAAACAAGACCCUGAAACUCUUGGCUAGAGAGUCUGCUUCCUAUCAAUUUGUAUUGCUGCACUUGGUUUGACAUUACUUAAAUGUGCAGCUUCUAAAAUACUUUCAGGUUAGUGUCUUUUCUAUGUCCAUUGCUAGUUUUAUCUGUGAGUCUUUCUCACUUUGCCUCUAUGAUCUAGUCCUUAAUUUUGCAGUUGUACGAUCAUCCCACUUAUUAUAAAAGGUUUUCGAUGGCCAUUGGAUUUCCUUGUAUCGAUAGAAGAAUGAGGAUGCCCAACGCUUUUAAAGUUAACAUGUCGUAUUAUCCUUAAAACUUGUAAGGUAAAGAGUAGAGAUCCUAGCCUUGUCCAAGAACAUGAUGAUCUACAGCUCCAUGUACCUUCUAUAUCUCCUCACUUUGGAUGAGUUACAUGUACAUGUUCUUAGAAGCUUGUCUCUAUUGUUUUUUUGUGAUUUUAAUUUUAUUUUAAUUAAGAUUGGUGGCAUUUGAUUUUAUGUAAGACUUAUUUGGUUAAUGUAAUAUUAACUAGUGGUAAACCCGGUGCUUUGCACCGGAAAUUAUCAUCAAUGUAUUAUGUAUUUUCAGUUA